UACGUAGGGUGCAAGCGUUGUCCGGAAUUAUUGGGCGUAAAGAGCUCGUAGGCGGUUCGUCGCGUCGGCUGUGAAACCCGGAGCUACACGUCCGGCCUGCGGUGGGUACGGGCAGACUAGAGUGAUGUAGGGGAGACUGGAAUUCCGUGGUGUAGCGGUGAAAUGCGCAGAUAUCAGGAGGAACACCGAUGGCGAAGCAG
rnacentral:rRNA from 1 species